GAGACAGCGGCAGGCUCCAUCCAGGAGUGACGCACUUGCCAACAAACAAGCCACCCAGCCCCUGGCCCCUCUGUGGCUUUCCUAGAGACAGGCUCGAUGACCGAGGAUUACUCACCCAGAGGAAGUCGCCACUUCAAGGGCUCACAGACUCCUCUCUGGGCCUAAAUCCUCCCCCUUCUUGAGAUCCCUGCUCUAAGCCCCAGCCCUCAGAAGAGGCUGUCCGACUUCCCUGAGUAGGUCAGACCUGCCUCUCAUAGCAUCUCUUGGCAACCUUCCUCACACUGAUGCUGCCAGGAUGUAAAAAGAAGACUGCGGCCCAAUCCCUACCUUCACAGAGCUCCAACUACCAGCCCAUCAGUAUAGACCACUGGGAAACCCCAAGGCUUUGGAAACAGACCUGGGUUUGCAACCUGGUACUACUGUGUGACAAGAAAACCUCUAAGGACUCAGUUUUUCCUCCCUAAAUACAGCCCUGUGCAGCUCGGACCAGCUUCACACACAGACAGCGCCUCACCUCCUGCCCAGGGAUUCCCUGUUGACCCUGCAGCCCAAGUGUGUGCAACCUGAAGUACAGGCAAGUUAAUGUUUGAUGAGGCGAAGGUUUAACCAAGGGAAGAAUGGAGCCAGUGCAGAAAUUCCCCACCCUCACCUCCUCUCCUGCCCACUCUCCCAGGGAAUCGUCUGAGAUGCCAUUUAUCCAGCUACAUCUUCUCUAGGGUGAGUUCUCCCUCCUUCUCUGCUUUACCCACCUCGGCCCCCAUUCUGCUCCGUGGAAUUGCACUCAUUAAUGAAAUCUGAAGUCAGAUCUGCUUUCUGGGGAACCCAGGCUAAGAAACCAGCCUUCCUAUCUCUUAUGAAGGAAAAGCCCCCCACCCCCAUGGUUUUUCCCAAGAGGAAAAGACAUUUGUGAGGCAAUAAGGCCAUAGCACUUUAUUUAGGACAGACGUGAAGGAUUCCCCCAGUAUUCAUCCCCCUCCUCCUCUUCUCCCUCCCCCUCCACACUAUCCAUGCCCACCUCCUCAUAAUCCUUCUCCAGGGC